rnacentral:rRNA from 1 species
GAUGAACGCUGGCGGCGUGCCUAAUACAUGCAAGUCGAGCGAACAGACGAGGAGCUUGCUCCUCUGACGUUAGCGGCGGACGGGUGAGUAACACGUGGAUAACCUACCUAUCAGACUGGGAUAACUUCGGGAAACCGGAGCUAAUACCGGAUAAUAUAUUGAACCGCAUGGUUCAAUAGUGAAAGACGGUUUUGCUGUCACUUAUAGAUGGAUCCGCGCCGCAUUAGCUAGUUGGUAAGGUAACGGCGUACCAAGGCAACGAUGCGUAGCCGACCUGAGAGGGUGAUAGGCCACAUGGGAACUGAGCCACGGUCCAGACUCCUACGGGAGGGAGCAGUAGGGAAUGGGACGCAAUGGGCGAAAGCCUUACGGAGCAACGCGGAGUGAGUGAUGGAGGUCUUGGGAGCGGAAAACUCGGUUAUUAGGGAAGAACAAAUGUGUAAGUAAAUAUGCACGUCUUGACGGUAACUAGUCAGAAAGCCACGGCUAACUACGUG